ACCCGCGUCGUCCAAUGGGAGGGCCGCUGUCUUACAAACAGCAGACGGGAGUUCGAUUCUCUCCGUGGGUACC
rnacentral:tRNA from 4 species